rnacentral:lncRNA from 1 species
GAAUACUUUCCAAAUGCACUGUAGCUUACUAACUUCUCGUGUUCUUCAUAUUUAUUUAUUUUUCUUGUUCUACCUUGUUAUUUUUAGUACUAAAUUGAUAUUGAUUACUGCAUUGUUGGAUUUAGAAUGGGCAAGAAAGGCAUUUCACUGUACUUGUGCAUGCAACAUUAAAACUUAAAACACAUACACACACACACUUGUAAUAACAUAGUCAAUACAUGACUGAAAUUCAUCCAUACAGUCAUGUUCAUCAAUAAUACUUCAUUUCAUAGAGGAAACUAUAAGCUACAAAUGUACAUUACAUGGCAGACCUCACACCCAGGGAACCUUGAGGUUCUAUCUAUGUAGGUCAACUCAGCUUCACCAGGAAGUGGAACAACUUGAAGUGCAAACACUGUGCAAAUUUGAUCCAUUAGUAUGUGUACAUUGGCCUGCUAUUUCUACUUUAUGUAUCUAUGCUUUGUGUAUCUUUGUACAUUCUAUAUUCUUUGUGUAUCUUUGUACAUUCUAUAUUCUUUGUGUAUUUUUGUACACUCUAUAUGCUUUGUGUAUCUUUGUACAUUCUAUAUGCUUUGUGUAUCUGGUACACUCAUAUGCUUUGUGUAUCUUUGUACAUUCUAUAUGCUUUGUGUAUCUUUGUACAUUCUAUAUGCUUUGUGUAUCUUUGUACAUUAAGAUCUAUGUGCAUCUAUUUCUCACUAUUCUGUUUGUCUUUGACUUAUUGAUUCUUGCUCACAGCUUAGGCCAUCCUUUGCUGUUGUUUAAUAUAUAGCUGCCUAUUUGGUUACAUUUCUUAGACUGAGAUGUCACUAUAAACUGAUAGAUAACAUUAAUGCUACAUAGGACAUUUUGCAGAUGUUUUUUUGGUCAAUGAUGUUUGGAUGGAUGAUGUGUAAACCAACUGAGAAUACAUACACUACAUUAUAAACAACACAUUCAACAGUACUAAAAGAGCGCUACAUUACUGGUUGAGCUGCACCCCAGCCUGUUACAUGAUUCUAUAAAACACCUCUGGCUGUGCUUGCUUGGUCACGGUUGUUGU